rnacentral:rRNA from 1 species
ACUGGAAACGGUGAGUAAUACCUUAUACGCCCUUCGGGGGAAAGAUUUAUCGGAUUUGGAUUAGCCCGCGUUAGAUUAGAUAGUUGGUGGGGUAAUGGCCUACCAAGUCUACGAUCUAUAGCUGGUUUUAGAGGAUGAUCAGCAACACUGGGACUGAGACACGGCCCAGACUCCUACGGGAGGCAGCAGUGGGGAAUCUUGGACAAUGGGCGCAAGCCUGAUCCAGCCAUGCCGCGUGAGUGAUGAAGGCCUUAGGGUCGUAAAGCUCUUUCGCCAGGGAUGAUAAUGACAGUACCUGGUAAAGAAACCCCGGCUAACUCCGUGCCAGCAGCCGCGGUAAUACGGAGGGGGUUAGCGUUGUUCGGAAUUACUGGGCGUAAAGCGUACGU